UUUAAUAAAAGAAAAAAACUGUAUUGAAAUUUGAAACCCUAGCGUGCCUCUUUUCCUUCACACUCCCUCCUCACGAUGCUCUACAGCGCCUCCCUCUUCAUCUCCGCCACCAUAAACCUCCAUCUUCUCCUCCUUGAUUAGGCAUCGAGACUCUAUUUUCCCCUAUAGCCUCUUACCAUUCAUGACCUUUUUCCCUUUUUGCAACAGCCCCGGCGUUCGUUUUUCACAUCACAAGUGAGAACCAGUCACCACACACAAUCUCUAUAUCGUCCCUCACCGUUAUCUUCUUACAGCCUUCUCUUCCGUUGUGGCAUCUCACUUUUCAGCUACUGAACAAAUAAAGGGGACAACAAAUGAAUGAGGUUUUAACCAUUAACAAUAGUUAUAUCCUUUAAGUUGUAUGAUAAGUUUGUUGAACUGGUGCAGGUUUGUGUUUUGUUUUGGUUUGUGGGUUGCUGUUCUGUAGUAGAAUUUUCUGGUUUUGGGGUACGGCAGCUGCAGAUGAGUCGGAUUACUAGCCUCGUAUCAGGUGUUUCUCUCAUUGUGUACACAUUUUAGGUGACUUUGUUGAUUAUGUGGAAUUGCAUAUCCCUGACUCUUAAGCAUCAAUUAUAAAUAUUAUAGUAUGUGACCAAACCUUCUAAAUUAGUAAUUGUCCUUUUUACCUCUUUUUUUUCCCUACAAUGUUGAACUGUGUGUUUGAUUUUGAUGCAGGGUGGUGGAAAGGUACAGUGGUCCUAUGAAAACUUCCUAAUUUUUCUUAUCGUUUAUCUUUUGUUUGGUUUGUGGUGUAUUAUAGGCAUGCUUAUGCAACAACUUUUCUUCUUUUGUUUAAAUGAGAAUAGGUUGCAGGUGACAGCAUAAACUUACUGAGGAUUCAAUUGAUGUACUUCAUGGGAUAUUUGGUUGGUAGAGGAGUGGAGUUAAAGCCAUUACUUUAUUAUUUAUUAUUUUCCUCUGCAGGAGUAACUGGACUGAUUACCUUUGGUAUUUAAUUUAGAUUUGAAUCCCUUGAAUAGAGUUGAUGCAUGUAGAAGUUUAUUGGGUAGAUGAAAAAGGGAAAAGGAGUGUUGCGUGAACGUCAAACGUUGAAACUCGCUCUGAAAGAUGAAAAAGGGCAAAGGCUGUAAGAUUGAUUGUAUUUGGAGAUUCAACACCAUUUCAUGAGGACGAAGUUUCGAAUGUUCAAGAAAGUUUAGCAAAUUCGAUUCUUGAAUUUAUAUGAAGUAGCCUAAGAUUGUUUAGAUUUAAUUUGGUUAGGCGUGUUUUGGUAGUAGUCUAAGAUUGUGUAGCUUUGCUUAGGCUUGUUUGUGCUUUUGUUUGGAGCAUAAGAUUGUUUAGUUUUAGUAGGAGAUAUUUAGAUCCGAUGGUACUUUCGGAAUAGUAUUUCAUGAAUAUUUUGUAACUUAAUUUAAGUACAAUUUGGUGGUAUGAUAUUUGGUUUUAUGAUAUUUUUUAUUGAAGGUAGUGAUGAAGUUUCGAUUUA